GCAGCCAGCAACUUACUGCUCGUGCUUGCAAUCGUGCACACGUAACGUAAAAGAGACUGAACGUGAUUCAAUGCUGCGAUAUACUCAUGGCGAAGUACUUUUCCGUUCUUUGCUUAGAAGUAAAAGGAAGUUGGAAAGUGAUAUACUGUUAACAAACUUCCAAACGCCGUCCACGCUGCUGAGAGCGACGUUUAAAUGAAUCUGAGUGCUGCGCCAUAACAAAAAUGACAGCAGUGAGAAUGCAGCCGUUAAGAAAGCAUCUGAUCAUAGCGAUGUGGAUAAUAUGUUUGCACCAGCUCAACAAUUGACCGGGUUCAUGUCGACAGAUGAGGUUUAACAGCUCGAUGAGAAAGCAGUGAGCAGCAAAACAUGCCUCGAGGAAAUACCACAGUAUGUGCACUCCAACCAGGCCAUUAUGCCGAAUGCAGGACCAUAGAGGUUAUAGGAGAAGUGACCAGAGAAGCCUUCAACACUUUUCUUUCUGGAGUGAUUUCCACUGUCACAGCAUGAAAGCUAUCCUGCAAGGUGCCACUGAAUUCAGCAGCACUGGAGCACACACCUCAGGACACCAGACCGUCCAGGUGCAGCAGGCUGCCUUGAGAUAGAGAACAGAUUGCUAACCAGUGGGAUGACAUUUAGAUCAGCUCUAUGAGUCUCAUUAGUGGGGGUUAUCUUCUAUCUGUAUGCCAAAGACAUUUAUUAUAAUAAAAUUGCAGAAAGCAAGUAUACGAUUUAAUACCAUUGUAGUCAUGUGCUGAUGAAUAUUCCAUAGUACUUUAAUAUGUAUCAUCAUUAUAUAUCACUGUCAAUUUGCGCAUUGGUGUUUAUUAGUGACUCUUUCAGUAUAUUACAUACCAGUAGGCGGUGACAAGUGGCUAUCUUUAUGAGUGAGUCAUUUGAAUCAUUCAUUCAACCGAUU